rnacentral:rRNA from 1 species
AAAACGACUCUUGGUAAUGGAUAUCUCGGCUCUCGCAUCGAUCAAGAACGUACCGAAAUACGAAACUUGGUGUGAAUUGCAGAAUCCCGUGAACCAUCGAGUCUUUGAACACAAGUUGCGAGGGCACGCUUGCUUGGGCGUCACA